GCCCGCCUAGCUCAAUCGGAUAGAGCGUCAGACUCUUACUUGGAGAGUCCUAAAAGGUGGAAUCUGAAGGCUGCGAGUUCGACCCUCGCGGUGGGCU
rnacentral:tRNA from 1 species